UACAGAGGUCCCAAGCGUUGUUCGGAUUUACUGGGCGUAAAGGGUGCGUAGGUGGCGAGGUAAGUUCGAUGUGAAAUCUCCGAGCUCAACUCGGAAAUGGCAUUGAAUACUAUCCCGCUUGAGGGUCGGAGGGGAGACUGGAAUUCUCGGUGUAGCAGUGAAAUCCGUAGAUCUACGAAGGAACGCCAAAAGCGAAGGCAGCUCUCUGGGUCCCUACCGACGCUGGGGUGCGAAAGCAUGGGGAGCGAACAGG
rnacentral:rRNA from 1 species